ACUCUUGUGUAUUUUCUAUUACACUCAGAAAUCACAGUCAGAAAAAAUAUAAAAUAGUAUAACGAGUAUUUAAUUAUCGUUGCAGCGGUAAGACGUUCUCGGAACGGGUAGUACAAUUCCGAAAUCGGCCGAAGGCGCGAAGUCGAGGAACGUCAACAAGGAAGGUCACCUCGGAGAGCGGCUAGCGCGCGACUUCAGAAGGACGUUCGCAAUACGCAAUAUUCACAGAGAUUUCACAGGGAAUAUAAAGGCGAAAUUACAAUAAUGUUCGGCAACGAUAAUCAGAUACGGUAUACUAGCAAUAAAUCACAGAAAUAAGAACGGAAGAUAUUGUAUACAAAAGUACGAAUAUUAAAUUCGGAUUCACACUUCAACAAAAUCAAAGAAAGUUUAGCCAAAAAGAAAAGAAUUCAAUUUAACUUAUCCCAGUUCGAAAGAGGAAAAUAGGAGAAACAAUACGAUUCCACUUAUUCAGAAUAAAGACGGUGUGGGCUCGCCACUAAAUUUUACAGAACUUAGGGUUCGGAAAUCUCACAGUACUUUUGCAGAGUCAAAAGAAUAAUAAAUUGACGGUAAACGAUAUCUUAUAAUAAUCGGCAAGAGAAUAUAACUAGGCAGCGGGAGAAUCUGGCUGUCGAACGACCAAGUCGGUCAACUCAGGGUCGAACACUCUGGCAGGCAGAUUCCCACGUGUACACUAGGCGAAGAUUCCAGAAAAUUCGUUAAUCACAGAAAAAAUAGAAAUCACAAAUCAUAUAAGAAAAGCUCAAAAUCGGAAACUCAAGAAUAUAAAUUAUAACGGCACUAUCGUCCUUUAUACUAUAAUCGGCGGAAAGACAUUCGCCCGAAAACGACAAGGAAAAAUUCGUCACCGGUGAAACGAACGGUUUAGCCGUGUACGUGUCUAUAAUCUUCAAUAAACAAAAAUCAGAAAAUAUUAAGAAAAGCGAUUGAUCUCACCACAAAAUAGAAAAGUAAAGCGUAAAGCUCAAUAUAAUCAGUCCUCAAGGCAAUAUUCGCUCUCUAUAUAUAUAUAUAUCUCUCUCACUCUUUAUCUCUCUUUCUUUCGUCUCGGUUCGCAAUAUUUCCAACGUGAGCUUUCUUCCGCACUUCGCACGACAGUGAAUUAUCGAUUGAUGAUCUUCGGCAACAUCUUCGGGCACAGGUGAGGCGGGACGGCACCGGAACGAGACGAACGUUGACCAGGGUAGCCGAGCUUUCCCGAGCGUCGAUGCGCAACGGCGGAAUCGGCCGAGUGAAAACGAGCGUCGAUCCUGUGGACACGGCCCUCUAAACUCGCUGGGCCUGGCGGGUCGAGGAUACUUAGACGGCUUCUCAGCCGGACGGAGGCACUAUCGUAGGCAAUCGGCAAGCUUUAGGCGGGCCAGGGAGGAAAACCUCAUCAUCUCCCUGUCGGCCAUAUCGGCGGCGGAUAGGCCCAGAGGGCAGUCCUUCCCGGCCGACGGAAACGGCGGAAUCCCCUCCCGGGUGCUCCAUGGCUUCUUCGGCGUAACGGCAGCAGCAGGAUUCCGGCGACAUCGAGGUCGGCGGAACCGGCGGGCACAUCUUGGUUGGUGGGAGCGGCGUGCUGAUCCCUCCAACUUGUCCUUCACUCAAAAUUCUCAAAAUCAGCAUCGACAGUCAAACGUAAUCGCUACAAAACCCUCAAACUCCACAAUGAUGAUGUCCGGUCCUUGCCCUUAUGCCGUUGUAGAGAGACUCGAGAGUUGAGAUUGAUUAAAGCUUAAAAAAAGCAAAAACUCAAUCAGUAAUAUGAAACGAGACCUGAAAUGACAAAAAGGACGAUAAUAGACGUUCACAAACGGAAACCUUAAGAAUAAUGGUUUAUACGGAAUUUCGCUAAUGGGUUGUCGUGCGGAGCCUAGGUUGAGCGAGAAAAUGAAAUUUAUUAAAUUUUGUGGCGCGAUUCUGAAGAAUCACGUUACAACGUAUAAAGAGCAAGUUACGUCACGCGAUGGAAAUUGGUGCCAAGUUCUUGUGUUGCGAUUGAAAAGCGCGAGUGCCACUGUCACCUGCUCAUCCCUAGCCUCGCGAGUGCAACAUGUCAUGUGACCAUUUCAGUUGGAUAACCCGAGCGAAUAUUCAAUAAUAAGUUCUCACGAGAAGGUUACGUGAAUGAUAAUGCUGGAUGGCAUAGUUGCGCUGCAAGGGCUGCCCGCUACUUACCAUUUCGGCGACUCCCACGCAGAGACCUCGACAAGCGCCAAGCCUAGUCCAAGGACCUGUAGAGGUCCUACUCCCGGUUUUUAACAAAAAAUUCAAUUAGGGCUAGUCGAUUAAUCGAUCGAUCAGCGAAUCGGGUUAUUAGUUUUUCUGUUUAAGCAACCAUCCUGGGGCCAUCCGCCAUCGUUCAUGAUAAGUAUCGCAAAUUUUACGAGCGAUCUCUUACAUAUUAUCACUUCUGUUAACCUCAUCAUAACAAUGGUGAUUUUUUUGAUUGCAGCAAAUGUAGAAGAGCCCCCCCUGCGGCGUCCUUCUUAAUCAGCCUCUUUGCCUUAUAUGGUUGUUUCCUAAUAUUUUCAUUCAGGGUGACUCUAUGGAAAAGGGUGUCAUAAAAUUUAUAGUCCUAUCCGAUCACAAAAAAAUCGGCAACCUAUUACUUUUUAAAAUAUUACUGAUAACAUAUAUUUUACCGCAGAUAUCUAUUACAAAUAAUAUAGGUAUAACGAUGAAAUAAUUUAACUAGAUGUUGGAUCUGAAGAAGGAAGAGUUGUGGAUCCAUAUUCAUUAGGACUCUUAUUUGCCUAGUUUGAAAGUACAGGAUUAGCUUUCGAUAUUUAUGGCAGCUUUUUUAGACUCAUUCGCAACAGCGUGAAGCGUAUUUUACUGCCUGCCCAUUGCUCCCCUAUUGAGGCAGUAGGUCUGGGUCGAGGAAGCGAACAGAGCCACAUCUUCAUGGCCAUGGGAGCCAUCGCUCUAUGCGUAACGAGGCCGCCCCUCCUCGUUAACCAAGGCAGAGGCAGAGGAGGAGGAGAAAAUGGCGUGGCAAUAAUCAUUAGAAUAUACAGGGCAGGGUUAUUCAUGGCAAAUGCGUCAGUUGAAGUUGGCCGCGAUUGAACAAUUCUGAUAAUGGCGGCACUGUGGUCUUAUUAAACAAAUGAAAGAAUGUAAAGUUCAUGAUAAAAGCAAUAUUACGACGUUAUUUUCAUUUAUUUAAUGAUGCCACCCUGCGCUAAUUCAUGAAAUCACCCAUUCACGGUCAAUUUCAGCAAGUGCGUUUGCGAUGAAUAACCCUAUAUUAGUUUUAAAAAUAUUAUAAAUAAUAAAUAUACAUACAUUUUAUCAAAA